rnacentral:rRNA from 1 species
GCUAGUAAUCGCGGAUCAGCAUGCCGCGGUGAAUACGUUCCCGGGCCUUGUACACACCGCCCGUCACACCAUGGGAGCCGGUAAUACCCGAAGUCAGUAGUCCAACCACGUGAGGACGCUGCCGAAGGUAGGAUUGGCGACUGGGGUGAAGUCGUAACAAGGUACC